rnacentral:rRNA from 1 species
UUCUAUUAGAAUUAAUUAAUAGUAUGAUCUGCUCAAUGAUAUUAAAUAGCCGCAAUCAUCUUGUGCUAAGGUAGCAUAAUCAUUCGUUUUUUAAUUGAAAACCAGAACAAAAGAUUGAACACUUUAUUUAAUUUCUUAAAUAUAAACAAUUGAAUUUAUCCUAAUUGUAAAAAGACAAUUAUUAAUAAGAUAGACGAUAAGACCCUAUCAAACUUAACUUUAGUUAAACUGGGGCAGUUAAUAAAUUAAUACUUUUAUUUAUUUAUAAACAUAAAUAGACCUAAUAUAAUUAAUCUUAUAAAUAAGUUACUGUAGGGAUAACAGCAUAAUUUUUAUUAAAAGCCCUUAUUUCAAUAAAAGAUUAUGACCUCGAUGUUGAAUAAUAUUCUUUACAUUAAGCAAAAGUAUUAAAAGAAAGUCUGUUCGACUUUUAAAAAAUUACA